rnacentral:lncRNA from 1 species
UUUUAAGCAUCUCUUUUACAAUCCUUUCUAUUUCAUCCUUCUGGAGAUGUGGAUACUGAUAUGGCUGAGCAUUUGCUGAAGAUUUGCCUGGAAGAAUCAUUAUACAAUGAUUAUGUCGACAGGUAAGAGGUAGGUUGCGCGGUUCGUCAAAUAUAUUUGAAAAUUCAGCAAGCAAAGGAAGUAGAUUUGGAUCUUCAAAUUCUAUUGGCUCUCCCUUAGUUUGCUGCUCAAGUUGUACCAAAAAACUGUUGCAUGCUUUAUGCAAAAC